GUGGCCUCAAACUCAGGCCAGUGCUCGCAGAGUUGGGCCAAGACUUUAGUGAGCAUGUAUGGAGUUAGAGAUCCUAUCAUGUGCCCCUCCCACACACAGGGAUUCAGGAGCUGAGCCUGGGAGACCAAGAUGCCCCAUCCAACUUCUACCAGUGAGUUCUAAGACCUUGGACCUUAGGAAGCCCGGGAGGGACCGGCCCCAGGAGCAUAAGGGGGUUCAGUUUCCCAGGAAGCCAUCCUGGGUAGCUCCUCAGGGUAUUCUCCCCACUGCUGCAACUCAGGGCAGCUGCUGGAGGUGGGUAGGUGGGAGGCAGCUUCGAAAGCCUGGGUCCUAGAUGGGGGUGUCACCCUCCAGCUACCACAGUAAUGCCUUGAGUGUCUGCCAAGUUCCCCUGUGGAUAGUCAGGAAUGUUUCCCCUUUCCCAGGGCAUCCGUUCAUCAGAGGCUUGGGAUCUCUCUCACCAGACCUGGGAACAGUGAACUGGAAGAGAGACCAGCUUCUCCAAAGUCCCUGAACCUCCCUGCCUUGGAAUCAACGUCAAGAGACGGUGGUUCCCCCCUCACUGUGGAAAGUGACAUGGACCUCACGGCCAAUCUGCUGCCCUCUGGUGGGAUGCACUCCCAUCAGCUCACCUUUCGGACCCCAGUUACUGAGAGCAUUCUUGGCCCACAUUUGCCCAAUCCCUCACUUCCUGGGAGCCCUACUUCACAGGCCCAGGAUAAGGAAGAGGUCAGCUCAUGCCCCUUUGGGUCUAAGGCCCUGAGCCUCACAUCUACUUUACCCUUCAGCUUGGGUACCAGCCGGUCCAUCUUCUUGGAACCCCAGAAGCCGUUGAGGGGAGACCCUGCACCUGAGAAAUGCUGGGGUCAGGCACACCUGUGGGCAGGGACUCCCAGUCUGAACACAAACUCUAGACUAGGUCCUGUGCCUACCACUCUGCCCUGGGUUCGGGAUAAACCCUGGACCUUGCCUACUGACUCCUCUAUGUUGCAGAGGGAGAUACCUGAGGCUCCUAGGGCCCCUUCCAUUCCUGUGGAAAUGAUGGUCAGCAAAGAUCCAACAGGAAUAACCCCUAGGGGGCAGGGAGAGCCCUUGGACUUAGGGGCUGAGCUCCAGGGAAGGGAGCAGGAGGGGGUAUCCUCAGAGGGACCUGGAGAGGAUGAGGAUAGACCAGUGGACAGUAGGGCCAGUUUAAGUGGGGGAGACUGCAAGAGGGACAGUCAAAAGCUAAAACUGGGUCAGGAGCAUUGGGUCAGUUCCCUGAAGCCCUCUGUGGAAGAUAGCUAUGGGCGCCAAGUAAGGGAGGCAGGCUGCAUGCUUCUGGAAUGGUUUCGAUGCCUCUUCCUGGACAGUGACAAUCACAGUUUCUCCUUGCUCGACUCUGGCCUGGCCUUGACCACUGGUGGCCUUACCGUGAAUGCUGGCAGCCAGGAACACCCUGCUCUGCGUGUGGCCUUCCUAACUAUGGUGCCUGUGGUCUCCGAUUGGCAGAAGAUGCUUCAUCACUUCCUCUUCCUUCCACCGGGGCCGGGACUGCUGGUACCCUACGCAGUCCUCUAUGACCGCCAGGGCUCCCUGCUCUACCUUAUGGAGGACCCUGGAGUUCUAAGUAAGGGGGAGGGGGGAAGGGGACCCUGGAGGCUUGGGGAGGAGGGGAGAGAGGAGCAGGGCAUCUAGGGAGUAGCCAAGGAGGCAGCAUGUGGAUGAGAAAAACCUUGGGACUAGAAAUUGGAGACCCUAGGAUGUAGACCUAGGCUGCUUUCCUAGGGGGGUAAGUCUUUUAUUGCUUUCAGAGCCCACUGAGGGGAGGGGGAAGGGGUACUGUGAUUAUAGCCUCUUUCCUGAGAGCCCAGUCACCCAGCAGCCUCAGUUUUAGGCCUUAGACCUCUAGUAAUACCACCUAGCUCAGAGGCUUUGAGAACAUGGGGAGUUGGGUGACACCUGGCCCUAAUGCUACACACAGAAGACAAUCCAGUUUAUCUGACCUUCUCAUCCCACGGGCCUUUCUGGAGGACGGAAUAAAUAGUAAGGUAGAAAGUCUAGCA
rnacentral:lncRNA from 1 species